AACGUCUCAGUUCGGAUUGUAGUCUGCAACUCGACUACAUGAAGCUGGAAUCGCUAGUAAUCGCGAAUCAGAAUGUCGCGGUGAAUACGUUCCCGGGUCUUGUACACACCGCCCGUCACACCAUGGGAGUUGGGAAUGCCCGAAGCCGGUGACCUAACCGAAAGGGAGGAGCCGCCGAAGGCAGGUCUGAUAACUGGGGUGAAGUCGUAACAAGGUAAC
rnacentral:rRNA from 1 species